rnacentral:rRNA from 1 species
AUUGAACGCUGGCGGCAGACUUUACACAUGCAAGUCGAGCGUGCGGCGGACGGGGGUGUAAUGCCUGGGAAACUGCCUGAUGGAGUGGGAUAACUACUGGAAACGGUAGCUAAUACCGCAUACCAUCAGAUCUGCCCCGCUGGGAUUAGCUCGUAGGUGGGGUAACGGCUCCCCUAGGCGACGAUCCCUAGAGGGUUUAAGAGGAUGACCAGCCGAACUGGGACUGGGACACUGUCCAGACUCCUACGAGAGGCAGCAGUGGGGAAUAUUGCACAAUGGGCGCAAGCCUGAUACAGCCAUGCCGCGUGUGUGAAGGAGGCCUUCGGGUUGUAAAGCACUUUCAGCAGGGAAGCGUUACCCGCAGAAUAAGCACCGGCUAACUCCGUGCCAGCAGCCGCGGUAAUAC